GUGUCAGCAGCCGCGGUAAUACGAAGGGGGCUAGCGUUGCUCGGAAUUACUGGGCGUAAAGGGAGCGUAGGCGGACAUUUAAGUCAGGGGUGAAAUCCCGAGGCUCAACCUCGGAACUGCCUUUGAUACUGGGUGUCUUGAGUGUGAGAGAGGUGAGUGGAACUCCGAGUGUAGAGGUGAAAUUCGUAGAUAUUCGGAAGAACACCAGUGGCGAAGGCGACUCACUGGCUCAUUACUGACGCUGAGGCUCGAAAGCGUGGGGAGCAAACAGGAUUAGAUACCCUGGUAGUCC
rnacentral:rRNA from 1 species